rnacentral:lncRNA from 1 species
CUGGGUCACCAUGAACAAGCUCAACUGCUCUGAGACCAUCAGGCAAUGAGAAAGCCCAAGUCACCGGGAAAGGGAUGCAUAGGCACUCCCAUUGACAGUACCAGCUGAGGCCAGCCUUCAAGUCAUUCCAGGCUCUGUGCCAGAUAUGUGUCUGAAGGAUGGUCUCAAACGUGACUAGUUUUUCAAGGAUCACCACUUCGUGUAAUCUCUGUGGAUGCCAUUCAUAUUGAAUUCUAUGUAAAUGGCGCCCCCUGGAGGAGUGGAACAGACUGCCACCCAUUCUAAAUGAAUGAUCUAGCACUAUGUGUACAUGAUUCCUGUGCCCCUGGAGACUCCUCCUCCCACACUAAACUAGCAAUACUGAGGACCAGUCCCUGGGACCUAUGAGACGGCUAUCUCUGAGAGUCCAGCCCUUGAGACAGAUUUUCCUAGAAAACACUCCAACUGACCCAAGACCUUCAAUUCUUGAAACAAGUAGGGAGGAGAAGGUGGUAAAGAAAUCCAAGUGCUAUUGUGAUGUGUGUCUUCCCUCUCUAUUUUGGGAUGAAAUUAUUUCAAGAUUUGAUUUACACAGUAGAAAUCGUGACUGUAAGCUUUGGACAGGUAUCUAGGCACUUACUAGUGUUCCCUCUUGUCUCGAGAAUGAGACAGCCAGGAGUGCCAGAUAUUUCCCAGUCUUGCCUCCGCUCUCAUAUCUAGAAACAAGAGCCUCCCAAAGGUCUCUCAUUCCUCAAGGUCCAUGGGAAGCCCAGUGGCUCAAUGGGAAAGCGUCAGUGACAAAUAUGUGUCUUUGUGAGAGAGCAAGAAGUCAGUCUCUUGGUUUGAACCAUUUGGUCUAGAAGACUAUCAUUCUACCAGGAGCAUAAAUUAUUAUUCUAUCAGGGGCAUAAAACCCCAAAGAAGUUUUGCAUAAGACACCAAACUCCAUGUC